UACAGAGGGGGCAAGCGUUGUUCGGAAUUACUGGGCGUAAAGGGCGCGUAGGCGGCCUGCUAAGUCGAACGUGAAAUCCCCGGGCUCAACCCGGGAACUGCGUCCGAUACUGACAGGCUUGAAUCCGGGAGAGGGAUGUGGAAUUCCAGGUGUAGCGGUGAAAUGCGUUGAUAUCCUCAGGAACACCGGUGGCGAAGGCGACUCACUGGGUCUUUACUGACGCUGAUGCACGAAAGCUAGGGUAGCAAACGGG
rnacentral:rRNA from 1 species